UUUUAAAGCUAUUAUAUAGAUAAGCGGGUAUUAGACAUUCCAACGGCAUCAAGUUUAGUGUAGCUAUUGACAACAUGAAGUUGCCAAACAUAGAUCUUGAUAUCAAAACAGUGUCUCCUGCCUUGACUUAAUUCCCUCCCGUGAUUUAUAAGAUGUCUUACAUUACCUUAUAUUGUAGAUUCAAGCUUCAGCGUGGACCAUUAUGUCUUUAAUAUGUGUGAUCCUGUACUAUUUACCAAUUCUUCCCUACGAAAAUCCAAAAUCUUAUAUGGAAUAUGUGUCAGUAAACAUAUACGGUAUAUUUCUUGCAGAAACAGGUCGUCCAUUUUUCCCUGACCAAACAGUUACCACUAACGUUUUCGCUGGCUUCAUGUGGGUUUAUUUCUUCAUUGACAUUGCGUGGAUAUCUACAUCAAUUUACUUGCUUCGCAAUGACAGUGUAACAGCGGUGAAGAUGUGGAGUUACUUUACCUUGUUUAUAAGUUUUUGGGAUUUUAUUACCUUCGUUAUGCUCGGUGCGGACUACGAUAAAUGUUUAAAAUUUGCUAAUUCUUACGCAUAUUGGGGAGUACAUUUGACGCUUCAGUAUUACUGCGCUAUUUUCUUUCUACCGGUGUUUUUAAUUGCAGCCAAGGGAUUUGUUCUGUGGAUACUAAACAUUGUUCUAGCACUCGUUGUUCUUCGAACGACUAGACAAACGGCGAAGAGUAAAUAAGAGCCAGAUUUUUAUUUGAGAUAUUGUGACGCGUAUUCAAUGAAGUAUAAAUAUAUAAUUGUGUGUUCUUUGA